AGCCCUAAGUGGGUGGUAAACUCCAUCUAAGGCUAAAUAUGACCACGAGACCGAUAGCGAACAAGUACCGUGAGGGAAAGUUGAAAAGCACUUUGAAGAGAGAGUUCAAGAGUACGUGAAACCGUUUAGGGGUAAACCUGAGAAACCCGAAAGGUCGAAGGAAGAAAUUCAUUCGCGUUUCGUUGCAGGCGUCGAGCGGACUUGCGUGACGGGAAGCGUUCGCGCUUUUCCGCACCUUCCGUUCUUCGAACCGGCGACGAACGCGUGCACUUUUCUUCUGGUAGGACGUCGCGAUCCGUUGGGUGUCGGUCUACGGCUCGCGGUGGAGCCCGUUCGUCGUAUUUCUCGUACGUACGGACGGACCCGCGUGUCCCGGCUGACUCGCUCGACGGUAUACGAAAGGUUUAAGGCCGCUCUCGGAGCGUUCGGCUCGUGGCAAGCGCGCCAGAUGUGUCGGCCAUCGGACCUAGUGCCGAUUCUGACCUCUGGUGACUGUUGGCCGCGAAGUUCUCGGACAGACCUUAAAACCGAUCGGCGACGCUAUAGCUUUGGGUACUUUCAG
rnacentral:rRNA from 1 species